UACGGAGGGGGCUAGCGUUGUUCGGAAUUACUGGGCGUAAAGCGCACGUAGGCGGCUUUGUAAGUCAGAGGUGAAAUCCCAGUGCUCAACACUGGAACUGCCUUUGAGACUGCAUCGCUUGAAUCCAGGAGAGGUGAGUGGAAUUCCGAGUGUAGAGGUGAAAUUCGUAGAUAUUGGGAAGAACACCGAUGGCGAAGGCAGCCAUCUGGACCGACACUGACGCUGAGGCGCGAAAGCGUGGGGAGCAAACAGG
rnacentral:rRNA from 1 species